rnacentral:rRNA from 1 species
UACGUAGGGGGCAAGCGUUAAUCGGAAUUACUGGGCGUAAAGCGUGCGCAGGCGGUUUUGUAAGACUGUCGUGAAAUCCCCGGGCUUAACCUGGGAAUGGCGAUGGUGACUGCAAGGCUAGAGUUUGGCAGAGGGGGGUAGAAUUCCACAUGUAGCAGUGAAAUGCGUAGAUAUGUGGAGGAACACCGAUGGCGAAGGCAGCCCCCUGGGUCAAAACUGACGCUCAUGCACGAAAGCGUGGGGAGCAAACAGG